CCCUGGCCGGCUCAGUCCCUAGAACACAAGACUCUGGAUCUUGAGGUCGUGAGUUCAAGCCCCAUGCUGGGGG
rnacentral:tRNA from 1 species